AAAAUUCAAUCACACGUAAUCGCUAUUUAUUUAUGUUAUAUCACUAUUAGGUUAUUUGGCUAUCAAUUAGAUAAGAUAACGUAAUUAGAUUGCAUAUUGACUAUGCUAUCACGCACGAAAUGAUGACACAUACUAUCGGGUCCAUGUAUUGUCAAUUGUUAAUUUUAUGCUUUUUUGUAAUUCUAAUAUACGUUUUAGUAUGUCAUAACCCACACAUGUGAUGUCGAACUGGUGAAUAUGAAUUUGGCAGCUUAUGCCGCUUUACGUGUUUGGAUUGGAAAUCGAAUAACUUAGAGCAUUUAGAUGCACUCGA
rnacentral:lncRNA from 1 species